rnacentral:rRNA from 1 species
AGCGAACGCUGGCGGCAGGCCUAACACAUGCAAGUCGAACGGAUCCUUCGGGAUUAGUGGCGGACGGGUGAGUAACACGUGGGAACGUGCCCUUUGGUUCGGAACAACUCAGGGAAACUUGAGCUAAUACCGGAUGUGCCCUUCGGGGGAAAGAUUUAUCGCCAUUGGAGCGGCCCGCGUCUGAUUAGCUAGUUGGUGAGGUAAAGGCUCACCAAGGCGACGAUCAGUAGCUGGUCUGAGAGGAUGAUCAGCCACAUUGGGACUGAGACACGGCCCAAACUCCUACGGGAGGCAGCAGUGGGGAAUCUUGCGCAAUGGGCGAAAGCCUGACGCAGCCAUGCCGCGUGAAUGAUGAAGGUCUUAGGAUUGUAAAAUUCUUUCACCGGAGACGAUAAUGACGGUACCCGGAGAAGAAGCCCCGGCUAACUUCGUGCCAGCAGCCGCGGUAA